GACGAACGCUGGCGGCGUGCCUAAUACAUGCAAGUAGAACGCUGAAGGAGGAGCUUGCUUCUCCGGAUGAGUUGCGAACGGGUGAGUAACGCGUAGGUAACCUGCCUGGUAGCGGGGGAUAACUAUUGGAAACGAUAGCUAAUACCGCAUAAGAGUAGAUGUCGCAAGACAUUUGCUUAAAAGGUGCAACUGCACCACUACCAGAUGGACCUGCGUUGUAUUAGCUAGUUGGUGAGGUAACGGCUCACCAAGGCAACGAUACAUAGCCGACCUGAGAGGGUGAUCGGCCACAUUGGGACUGAGACACGGCCCAGACUCCUACGGGAGGCAGCAGUAGGGAAUCUUCGGCAAUGGACGGAAGUCUGACCGAGCAACGCCGCGUGAGUGAAGAAGGUUUUCGGAUCGUAAAGCUCUGUUGUAAGAGAAGAACGAGUGUGAGAGUGGAAAGUUCACACUGUGACGGUAUCUUACCAGAAAGGGACGGCUAACUACGUG
rnacentral:rRNA from 1 species